UAAGAAUAUUCCGCAAUGGACGAAAGUCUGACGGAGCGACGCCGCGUGGAUGAAGAAGGCCGCAAGGUUGUAAAAUCCUUUUGCUGGGGAAGAAUAAGCGCAGGAGGGAAUGCCUGCGUGAUGACAUGAACCGGCGAAUAAGCCCCGGCCAACUACGUGCCAGCAGCCGCGGUAACACGUAGGGGGCAAGCGUUGUUCGGAAUUACUGGGCGUAAAGGGCAUGUAGGCGGUUUAGUAAGCUUGGCGUGAAAGACCACGGCUUAACUGUGGGGUUGCGUUGAGAACUGCUGAACUUGAGUUACGGAGAGGGAGCUAGAAUUCCUGGUGUAGGGGUGAAAUCUGUAGAGAUCUGGAAGAAUACCAGUGGCGAAGGCGAGCUCCUGGCCAAUGAUUGACGCUGAGGUGCGAAAGUGUGGGGAUCAAACA
rnacentral:rRNA from 1 species